rnacentral:lncRNA from 1 species
AUGAGAGACACAGAGAGAGAGAGACAGAGACAGAGAGAGAGAAAGAGAGAGAGACAGACAGACAGACAGGCCCAGGCGGAGGGAGGAGCAGGCUCCUGCUCCUGCCAACUCCCGCCUCCAUCCCGGGUCCCCGGGGUCACGGCCUGGGCCGGAGGNCGCCCCCCCAGGCCCGACGCCCCUGCACCUGGCCGCGCAGGCCUGCGCCCUGGAGGCCACCGUGUGCCUGCUGAGCUUCCGCGCAGACCUCACGCUGGCCGCGGGCCGGGGCUGGCUGCCCAUCCACUUCGCCGCCUUCUACGACAACAUCGGCGUGGCCGCCGCACUCUGCAGACGGGACCCCGCGCAGCUCGAGGCGGAGGCAGCCGCCGGGAAUCAGUGCACCCCGCUGCUGCUCGCUGCCACCUCGGGGGCCCUGGACACGAUCCGCUACCUGUUGUCCCUCGGUGCUAACUGGAGGAAAACCGAUACUAAGGGCAAUAAUAUAAUUCACCUGUCGGUGCUCAGCUUCCACACGGAGGUCCUCAAGCACAUAAUAGGUCUGAGCAUCCCUGAGCUCCCCGUGUGGGCGACCCUGGUCGGUGAGUACGCGGCGCCGCCCGCAGCGGCCUAGGUCACCAGCAGCCUGGGUCACCGCGGCCUGGGUCACCCCAGCCCAGGCAUCUCCGGGCGCUGGGAAAUAGAGGGAAUACUGGACAUGCCCCCGGGUCUCCAACAGUGAACUAUCAGAGACGUUUUGUUAAGACCACAGAUACAAAUAAGACGGAGCUAUAUUUCAUGUGUACUUUUAUUUCUAAAUUAAAAGCAAAUAAUAAUGACCCGGGUUAUAUUUUAUACAAUUUAUUUUCAAAGGUUUUAUUUAUUUAUUUGAGAGAGAGCAUGAGAGAAAGGGAGAGAGAGAGAGAGGGAACAUAAGCAAAGGGAAGGGGGAGGGGGAAGGGGGAAGCCAGCUCGUCUUGGGCAGGGAGCCUGGUGUGGAACCAACCCCAGGACCUUGGCCCAGCCGGAGACAGACACUUAGCCCACUGAGCCACCUAAGCGGCCCAACUUUCUCCAAAAGUCUGUCUAUCCUCUUCUCCAUCAAAUAAGCAAAUUAAAAAACAACAACAAAAAAACAAAACCCAAAAACAAAAACAAAAACAAAACAAGGAAAGAGGAAGGAAAUUAAAACUGAAGUGAAAAAGUUUCCCUCUGGGACACCUGGGGGGCUCAGUGGUUGGGCACCUGCCUUCGGCUCCAGGAGUGACCCCGGGGUCCCGGAAUCAAGUCCCAUGUCGGCCUCCAUGCAAGGAGCCUGCUUCUCCCUCUGCCUGGGUCUCUGCCUCUCGGGGUCUCUCAGGAAUAAAUAAAAUCUUAAAAAUAUAUAUUAAAAAAUG